GCCUGGUGGGCUACAGUCCAUGGGGUCACAAAGAGUCAGACAUGACUGAGCGACUCAGCACAGCACAGCACAUCUAAUAUUGAUGAAGAUACAAAAGGGGACACCAGUUUGAUCCCUGGUCCAGGAAGAUCCCACAUGCUGCGGAGCAACUAAACCUGUGUACCGAGCCUGCAUUCUGGAGGCCGUGAGCCACAACUACUGGGCCCACACGCAGCAACCACUGAAGCCUGCGAGCCCUAGUGCCUGCGCUCUGCAACUAAAGAAGCUGCCGCAAUGAGAAGCCUGCGCGCCACAACUAGAGAGUAGCCCCCACUUUCCGCAACUAGAGAAAGCUUGGAUGCAGCAACGAUGACCCAGAGCAGCUAUGAAAAUAAAAAAUAAAUUUUUAAAGAGCUAUUAGAAACAAUUUAAAUUGUAAAAAAAAAAAAAAAAAGUCUUUAAAUGCUUUUUUAUCACUUCUGAAAGUAAAACAGAGAACAUUUUCAAUGCUUAUUUAAUUAAACACAGCUAGAAACAGA